rnacentral:lncRNA from 1 species
AUGCCGCCUUGUGGUGCUGGGGAGCAGGCUCAGGUUUGUACCCCCCCCACUCCCUGCUUGUGCCUCGAAUGCCAAAAAGGCGCUCGGGUGCCUGCCCCCCCCCAGCCCGGCACCGCUGGAAGCGUUCCCAAACCCACGCUCCCCCCCCUCCCCAGACCCCGCAGCAGCUCUCCCUUCCCUCGAGGACAAGGGAGCCUUGGGCCCCACAGCGAUGCCCUCCCCUCCUCGCAGAGCAAGGUCGCGCGGUGGCACCGAGGACAAUGGGGAAUUGUCCCGGCACGGCCCCCCCUGCGGCCACCCCGGGCCGAGAGCAAACAGGGAACAAAGGCAGCGCUGUGGGGGCGCUGGGACCCCCCCCGCCUGUUUGCCUUGGACGGGGCAGGCGUGGGCACGGCGGGACCAAGGGGGGGGGUCCCGCUGUCAGCCCCAGCUCUUCCCACGGUGAUGCUCCCUGAAUUUCAUCGGGUCCGUGGGGAGGGCUGUGCUGGCACCAACCAACCUUUUCCUUUUCCUUUUUUUUUUCUUUUUUUCCCUUUUUCCUUUUUUUUUUCCAGCCUAAAUGCCAGCCAGGGAACAUCGAGGCAGGCAGGUGCCCCGGGGCUGGGGCUGGCGAGCGGCCCCACGGAUGUGGCAGGGCCUGGCAGGGCUCCCCCCCCAAAAAAGCCCCGGCCCCGCAGGCUGCGGGAAGCUGCUGCUGUGAUGGGGAAGGGAAAGGAGGGGAAGGGAGGAGAGAAAGGGCACUUGUGCGGCACAAUCCCGGGUCCUGUGCCUUGGCUCAGCCGCUGUGGGGCCACAGGGUACCCACAGGGAUGGGGACGAGCCAUAAUUAUUGCCUCUGGUGUUAAUGGGGGGACCCCAGCGCCCCAGGGCUGCAGGCACACAAGCAGCACGAGUUGUGGCAGGGCUCAGCCCGGGCGGGAGCUCUCAGCUCUCCAACCUGGGGCUGCAGGGGUGGUGGGACGUGUCCCGGGAGGCAGAACGGGGCCGGGAAUCGGUGUGGGGAAGCAAGGUGCCGUCCCCACCACCCGGAGGCUUCUUCCCCGCAGGUUGCCACCCGCGGGGACCUGCGUGCCCGUGGCCUGCUGGUGCCGGGGGCGGGUUUGGUGGUGCCUUUCUGCUCCAGGAGCGUGCCACCCGCACCGUGUGGCAGCUGUCCCCAUGUGCAGCCCCCCCUGUCCCCCCAUACUCACCCAUGGUGCCGGACUCGGUCCGCUCCCCGUGCGCUCAGCUGCCUGGGCUCUGUCUGCAGCUGGGACCAGCCCUCGCCUCUCCUGGCAGUCCCUCGCCCUGUACCGUGCCCUCUGGGUGCCUGUCCCCCUCUCCAGCAAAGAAAAGGGCUCUCUGCGUGACAGCCACCCCCCUUAA